CACGGAUCCAGAGUUUGAUUAUGGCUCAGGAUGAACGCUGACAGAAUGCUUAACGCAUGCAAGUCGACUCGAGUCUUCGGACUUGGGUGGCGCACGGGUGAGUAACGCGUAAAGAACUUGCCUCUUAGACCGGGACAACAUCUGGAAACGGAUGCUAAUACCGGAUAUUAUGGUUUUUUCGCAUGGAGGAAUCAUGAAAGCUAGAUGCGCUAAGAGAGAGCUUUGCGUCCCAUUAGCUAGUUGGUGAGGUAACGGCCCACCAAGGCAAUGAUGGGUAGCCGGCCUGAGAGGGUGAACGGCCACAAGGGGACUGAGACACGGCCCUUACUCCUACGGGAGGCAGCAGUGGGGAAUAUUGGACAAUGGACCACAAGUCUGAUCCAGCAAUUCUGUGUACACGAUGACGUUUUUCGGAAUGUAAAGUGCUUUCAGUCGGGAAGAAGUCAGUGACGGUACCGACAGAAGAAGCGACGGCUAAAUACGUGCCAGCAGCCGCGGUAAUACGUAUGUCGCAAGCGUUAUCCGGAUUUAUUGGGCGUAAAGCGCGUCUAGGCGGCAAGGAAAGUCUGAUGUGAAAAUGCGGAGCUCAACUCCGUAUGGCGUUGGAAACUGCCUUACUAGAGUACUGGAGAGGUAGGCGGAACUACAAGUGUAGAGGUGAAAUUCGUAGAUAUUUGUAGGAAUGCCGAUGGGGAAGCCAGCCUACUGGACAGAUACUGACGCUAAAGCGCGAAAGCGUGGGUAGCAAACAGGAUUAGAUACCCUGGUAGUCCACGCUGUAAACGAUGAUUACUAGGUGUUGGGGGUCAAACCUCAGCGCCCAAGCUAACGCGAUAAGUAAUCCGCCUGGGGAGUACGUACGCAAGUAUGAAACUCAAAGGAAUUGACGGGGGCCCGCACAAGCGGAGGAACAUGUGGUUUAAUUCGAUGAUACGCGAGGAACCUUACCCGGGCUUGAAUUGCAACCGAAUUAUCCGGAAACGGGUAAGCCGCAAGGCGGUUGUGAAGGUGCUGCAUGGUUGUCGUCAGCUCGUGCCGUGAGGUGUCGGCUUAAGUGCCAUAACGAGCGCAACCCUUAUCCACAGUUGCCAUCAGGUUAUGCUGGGGACUCUGUGGAGACUGCCGUCGUAAGAUGCGAGGAAGGGGGGGAUGACGUCAAAUCAGCACGGCCCUUACGUCCGGGGCUACACACGUGUUACAAUGGGGGGUACAGCAGGCUGCUGGGCGGCGACGUCCGGCGAAUCCCUAAAUCCCCUCUCAGUUCGGACUGGAGUCUGCAACCCGACUCCACGAAGCUGGAUUCGCUAGUAAUCGCGCAUCAGCCACGGCGCGGUGAAUACGUUCCCGGGCCUUGUACACACCGCCCGUCAAGCCAUGAAAGCCGGGGGUACCUGAAGUGCGUAACCGUUUAGGGGCGCCCUAGGGUAAAACCGGUGAUUGGGGCUAAGUCGUAA
rnacentral:rRNA from 1 species